GGCGCUGGGUGAAAGGGAGACGAGAGGAAGAUGGGGAAGAGGGGUGCUGGGCUCUGUUCCCUCAAAGGUCUCUGCUGGUGUCCAGAGAAGAUCCCCUAGCAGCUGUGGCCACAGGCCUGGGAGUACACAGGGCAGGUAUGGCUCAGGGAGGGCCGGCCCUGGUCUCCUGGUGGGCAAUGGUAGGGCAGGGCUGCGCUGUUCUCUGCAGAGGGGUGGUUGUUCUGGCACCCACUGCUGCUGCUGCUGCUGUCUUUCCUUCUUCUCUUCCUGCCCCUCUGCACUCUCCCUGACCUCUCUCACCUCCCUGCCUCCUACUUCCCACAUCUCUUUCCUUCCCUGGCCUGGCCCCUCCUCUGACUCUCUCACCUGGCACUGCCUGGAUGGAGAGAGGUGGGAAGGAGUGUACCCGGGAUGGACCACUACCAGAUGGCCUGUCCUCUCUGCUCUUGCUGUCCGUUUCCACAGCACUGAUUCUGGGCAGCAAGCUGCAGGCCUCCUCCUAGCUCCCGGGCCUCUCACUCCCCUGCUUUCCCUAUGUCCUGUGUGGUAGACAGGGGCUUCCUUCCCCAUGACUUCUAGUUGAUGGUUUUCCAUUAUUGGGUGGCAGGCUGUCCCCAGAGAGAAGAGCCCACAGGCCUCAUAAGGAAAAGCCCAUGGCUUUAUCCUGAGCUGGCCAGCGCCCCUCCUGGAGGUUCAGAGUCCUGGUCACUGGGCUCUCCACUUUGGAGGAUUGCUGGGCUGACAUGCUUGCUGUCAUUCUUGUCUUUUAGGUGGUGAGGAGGCAGGAGAGUUUGAAAGGCAUCCAAGUGAGCCCAGAGAAGCCUCUGCUCUACAGGCAGACCCCACGCAUCUGCCAGCCUCUGCUCUCUGGAUUAAACCAGCUCCCAGCCUGGUCUUAGAUGAGACUUCAGGUGGUUUUGUUAAGCUCUAAUCUGCCAUAAUUUAUGAUGUAGUAUAUGUGUGUAUACAUAUUUAUGACAUAGUACAUAUUCCUAUAUAUAUCCUAUUAUAUACUCAUACAUUCAUAUAUUCAUGGUACAUCGUAUAUUCAAAACACAAUAUUUAUCUAUCUAUUCAUUA